ensembl:lncRNA
GGAGAAGGGCCCACGAGGGGUUGGAGCGGCGGGGCAACCGCGGCCUCCCCAGCUCCCACCUACAUCCCGCAGCGGGCCAACGGGUAAAGCGAGGAUUUAUCAGGGACGCUGCUGGAGAAACGAGGGCGCGCAUUAGGUGAGCAGCCAGUCCCCUUGCCGGGCGUUCGCUGGGGUUGGCAGCAGUCUCCCCGGGAGACAGGAAGCGCAAGGCGCAGAGUGACCUGUCCAGGAGACAAGUGAACUGAGGGUGCCGCGCGCGCUGCGCGUCCUUUACCCACACCUAUGGAUUCUUGGCCAACAGUUUACAGAUGAAGAGACAGACUCUUGAGGCUGCGGUGCUCCCAGAUACAGCUGGUCUCUGUGCCCUUUCUCGCCUUCUCUGUGCCCCACAGACUCCUCUACACAGAGCGUGACAGCUUUUUCACCCUGGGGGAGGCAGUGCCGACAGACUGGAGGCUGUGAGGAGCCUGAAGUCCCGUGGUCCCCUGUAGUCACUGGUAACUGGCUGUGUCCUACCAAAUGGCAGGCAGCCUGACCCCUCUCCUGGUCUUUGCCCAGCAUGCCUCUGCCUGCCACUACCCUCAUCCUGGCCCAAGCCCAAUGGGCCCCCCUUUCGUGGCACUUCCCAGAGGCUCAUUUUUAUCUUCACCCCACUGGGAGGCAUCGUUACAGAUGAGGCAGCUGCUCGGAGAGGGGGUGUCACUCAGGACCACAUACAGGUUGGAUGCUACAGUUGUGGAGGGACCCCUCCCACCCAUGACCUGUCCUGGUGAUGCCCCAGGCCUGGGAGAGAGGCCUUGGGCACAUGGCUGGGCCCUCUCAGGGCCCAGAUGCUACAACCUCCUGGCCCUGCUGGAGUAUCUCUGGCCAUCAGCAGUUCUGCCUUUCCUGCUCCACCUGUGGGGCCCUAAUAUUUCCCACUUAACCCGAAUCAGUGAGCCACAGAGCAUCUGCCCCACUUCUGCUGCUUCCCCAGGCAUCUCCCCUUGAGUGUCUCCCAGGCACCGAAGAUUAAAGCCAUUAACCCUGCCCCAGCUGGGAGUCACCUGGGCCUAUGUAACAAAUGCCACAGGCCGGCUUUAUUUUCUUAUGGCCCUGGAGGCCUGAGAUGAGGGGUCAGCAGGAUUGGUUCUUCCUGAGGAUGGCAUCAUCUCCCUUUGUCCUCCUAGGGGCGUCCUCCUGUGUGUCUCUGUCCUAAUCGCUUCUUAUGAGGUCACCAGUCAUACUGCUUCAGGCCACCCUAAUGACCUUAUUUUACCUUGACCAUCUCUGUAAAGGCAGCUUCUCCAAAUACAGUCUCAUUCUGAGGUCCUGGGGUUAGGAUUUCAAAAUAGGAAUUUGGGGGACACAACAACACGAUACCCCCUGGGUGCCCCAGCUUGGUCAAUAGCACCCCGGCACCUGCUUCACCCAGAGCCACAGCCAGCACAUCCCACCGAGUUUGGUGGGGAAUCAUCCACUAGUGGCUGUCCCACUGCCACUGUCCCCACUCUACCUCCCACAGCAGGUGCAGGUAGCCUGCCAGAGGGGUCUUCUGGCUGAGACCCCACCAUGGCUCCUAGCGCCACAGGAGAAGCCAUGCCGUAACUUGCCCAUGCAUUCAAAGCCACCCUGGGUGAUACUACCCUGCCAAGUGCUCACUUGUCCUACCCCAAGGGGGAUAUUUUCUCUGAGACAGCCCCACCUCUGUUGGAGCAAGGAUGCUGGACCAUUCCCUGUCUCUGAAAUGGGGAAAAGAGCCACAGAGCCUCAGCUGGGAGGUGUCCCUCCUGCUCAGUGCCUCUUCGGGGGCUGCCUGGGGACAUCGGCUCCCAGAGCCUCCAGCAGUCAUACCUCCUGCUCCUGUGCAGCUUCACUCAGAGGCUGAGGACCAGCCUACUGGUGCUGGAGCCACUUCUGCCUGUCCAGGGCUCCUCAAGGCCAGUCUGGCCAUGUUGGCACUGAGCUGCACUGAGGUCUGAGGCUUUUUCUCCCCACCCUCCCUCCCCUUCUUGUCCCAGGCAUCAGCCCUGCCGGCCUCUGUGCCUGUCCCUUCCCCCUCCCCCUCUGCCACAAGCUUGUUGCAUGUCUAACCCAAUUUUGGUGUCUGCAUCUCCGAAGAUGAGCACUGGCAUAGGCAGCUGCUUCAUGAGUGGAUUAAGGGUAAAUGAAUCAAUUAGGACAGAACUUAAAAAAGCGCCUGGAACAGAGUAGAGAUCUCUGACCCACGUGGCUCUUGCCUACAGCCCAUUCUCAGGGACUUCGCCUCCUGUCCAUAGAAGAACUCAGUGUCCUUUGUCGACCAGGGCUUCUUAGGUGUCCUGGGUGUGCUGUGCUCUCACGACCACAGGGCCUUUGCACCCGCUGCUGCCUUUGUUGUGGACCCUCUGACCCUCCUUGCCCAUCAGCUCCUACUCAUUCUCUGUCACAUCUCAAGUGCCACCUCCUCUGGGAAGCCUUCCUGACCUUUCUGUGCUCUCCCAGCACUGUGUGCCUCUCAUUCAUUUCUUGAGGUUUAUCCACAUGGGGGGGGGGUGCAUUUAUUUCAUGCUUGUCCCUCUGUGGCCGAGCCCUCUUCCCAGGAUUCCCAGUUUUCAGCAGAGCGGAGUGGCCCCAAAGAAAGCUUUCAUUUCCCAGCCCCACAGCAGCUGACCAGUAGGUCAUGUGCAGAAGUGGGGAGUGGCUCUGAGUUCCCAGCAGAGGGACACUUCCUUUCACAUCCCUCCUCUGUGUGGGUCGGGGCGCAGGAGGCAGACCAGGGCAUUGCUGUCAGGAUGGGGACUGACGAGUGGAAGGAACACAGACCCCGAGAGCCCACAAAGUGGAGCUGCCUCCCCCAUGAGGGCUUCCAGGAGAGAAAACAGUCUUGCUUGUCUAAGCCCGUGUUACUUUGAGUCUCUGUUGCAGAGACAAUUCUCCCUCUGCAGACGUCAGGCUCUGUGAAGGCAGGUACACCUGAGUCAUGGUCCACGGUCCCUUGGGCACCUGGACAGGCCUGGAGGCAUGGAUGGCCAGGCUCUUAGGGGCUGGGUCAUCUCUUAGUCAUCUCAGUACCUCACAGCACCCAGCUUGUGGGGGCAGGGGGUCCAGCAGAACCAUCUGUGAUGGACUUGUUCCCUGUAUCCCUGUUGUCCAAUAAGGACAUUUGGCGGGGCCACCAUGUUGGACUGUGCACAGUGGAGCUGGGAGAAGAGGAUGGGGUGCAGCCAACAGACCCCUGAGGGCAGGUGGAUAGCUGCCCCCACCUGCAGGAGCCAAGCACUGUGGGCUUUGAGGCCCCCUGAGGGUCACGUUGAGGAAUCCUGUUCUGGUGGCAGCAGCUCCAGCCAUGGUGGCCAGACUGUCAUCCAACUCCUGCUUCCUAGAGAAGGCAUGGGUCCCUGGGACUGGCAGGUCAGGGGAAGGAUCUGGAGAGGCCCCAACAAGAUGGGAGGGGAGCCUUCAGGGGAGGGGUUGGGGCAGCAAACACUCCCCGAGUGGAAAGGGCUGAAGCACAGCUUGGGCAGUGACGCCUGGCAUCCACCUGUCCCAUGUUAUCUGUCACUGGGUCCUUACUGUCCUUCCCUGAGCCUCUGGAAGAGCCCACUGCACCCUGGUGGGGGAGCAAGUAGCAGAGGUCAUGGCUGUGCAGGUCCAAGCAAUGACCACAGACUAAGCCAGGCGUGCCAGGCACUGUGAGGGUUCAGACACAGUGCCCAUGCCAGCUUGGAGACUCGGAGGGGUGUCUGUCCUGUCCACUCAUCCAAGCCGCUGACUGUCAGGCCUGAUGCCGGGGCCCCUUCCCCCCUUCUCUGGGCACUGCCCUCUCCCACCCAAGGGCUCACUGUGCGUGGGAAGGGAGAAGGGAUGGCAGGGGGCUUGCGUCUCUGCUGGUGGGGCUGGAAGCCCGGAGACCUGGUCAUGCACCACCCUCUGUGGGUUGCUGUUUUCACCUUGGCAUCAAGAGUUUGGCCUAGGAGUUCCUGUUGUGGCUCAGUGGUUAAUGAAUCCGACUAGGAACCAUGAGGUUGUGGUUCGAUCCCUGGCCUUGCUCAUUGGGUUAAGGAUCCGGCAGUGCUGUGAGCUGUGGUGUAGGUCACAGACGCGGCUUGGAUCUGGCAUUGCUGUGGCUGUGGCGCAGGCCGGCGGCUACAGCUCCAAUUCAACCCCGAGCCUGGGAACCUCCAUAUGCCACAGGAGCGGCCCUAGAAAAGGCAAAAAAGACCAAGAAAAGAAAAAAAAAAAAA